ensembl:snoRNA SNORD116 Small nucleolar RNA SNORD116
GGAUCGAUGAUGACACCCUCACAUGCAUUCCUUGGAAAAUCUGAACAAAAUGAGUGAGAACUCACUACCGCCUCCUCAUCGAAACUGAGGUCC